rnacentral:rRNA from 1 species
UAGGGAGCGAGCGUUGUCCGGAAUUACUGGGUGUAAAGGGAGUGUAGGCGGGAUGGUAAGUCAGCGGUAAAAUUGUGGGGCUCAACCCCGUCGAGCCGUUGAAACUGGCGGCCUUGAGUAGGCGAGAAGUGUGCGGAAUGCGUGGUGUAGCGGUGAAAUGCAUAGAUAUCACGCAGAACUCCGAUUGCGAAGGCAGCACGCCGGCGCCUUACUGACGCUUAAGCACGAAAGCGUGGGUAUCGAA